AAUGAACGUUGGCGGCGUGGAUUAGGCAUGCAAGUCGAGCGCUCAUCAGCAAUGGUGGGAGCGGCGAACGGCGUAGUAAUGUGUAGGAACGUACCCUCUGGUCGGGGAUAGCUACGGGAAACUGUAGGUAAUACCCGAUGAUCUCUGUGGAGCAAAGGUGUGAUUCCGCCGGGGGAGCGGCUUACAUGAUAUUAGCUAGUUGGUGGGGUAAUGGCCUACCAAGGCUUAGAUGUCUAGGGGGUGUGAGAGCAUGGCCCCCACGACCGGAACUGAGAUACUGUCCGGACACCUACGGGUGGCUGCAGUCGAGAAUCUUCCGCAAUGGACGAAAGUCUGACGGAGCGACGCCGCGUGCGGGAUGAAGGCCCUUGGGUUGUAAACCGCUGUCAGAGGGGAUGAAAUCUCCGAGGGUUAUCCCUCGGAGUUGACAGAGCCUCAGAGGAAGCACGGGCUAAGUAUGUG
rnacentral:rRNA from 1 species